rnacentral:rRNA from 1 species
AUACUAUACAUCUUAUCCUCACGGCAUCACACAGUCCUCUAACUCUCUCAGCUCGAGCCUGAUCCCGUCCCUGCCGCUUCCCGUCCAUAGACGGCGUCGCCGCAUUCUUGUCUCCCCUCCACGGCGUCGGCCGGCCCCUCCUCUCCCAGCCAUCUCUCCUCCAUGUCGCGCGCCGAGCCCGUCCUCCCUUCCCUCGAUGGCUUCGUCCGCAUCCUCCUCCGACUGCCACGGUGGCUCGAUUGGUUCGAUCCACCGCCAUCCACGCCCGACAGGUUAUUCCGACGAUGGGGCGGCGGCAAAGCUUAGCGCGAUGACAGAGCCUUCCUCCAGCUCUACCAAGAAACCCUCGCUCUCCGUCCGUCUUCCUCCCUUUGCCAGCACCACCUAGCGUCGCCAUGGUCGGUGGCCGCGACCACCAACAAGAGGAAUCGCGAGGCGGCGGCGGCGGCACCAAGGGGAAGCCGCAGCCCGUCACUGCCAAGGAAAAGCGGGUCACAGCUAAGGAAGUGUCGGAGUCGAGGAAGCCCGACUACAACCUUAAGAAAGACAUCGAAGUACUAUGGGGAAAGAUGAUAGGUCGUCAUUUGAGCAAGGAGGAUAUAAUCAAGCUAGUUACCGAGGCCCUCCGUAAAAUGGAUUGGAAAUAUUUGGAAUUUCUGGAUCCCAUACAUGUGUGUAGUGGUUCUCACACUCAAGAGAGUGGCAAGGUUAGGACGCAUAUUAUCAGAAUCUUGAAGAAGCAGAUUAUGAAGCUUGAUGUCAGUGAUUAUGGAUGCCUUGUUCUAUUUGAAGAGCUGACAAAGCAGUUAAAGGAAAUCAUAUUGAUAAGCUUAAACAGGUCCAUCUUUGACCAAGUAUAGGACGGGCAGAUGUCGCGAAAGGAAUACUCAUGGUUUCUGAAGACUGACCAUGCUCCCUCGAGUACUACGCAGCAACAAACUCAGUAAAAAGAGGGCUCAGACAUGGCGACAAGAAUGAAGGUGGAGGGAAAGGAGUGGAGAGAAAGUAUUCUGGAGGUCAGGAUGGCAAACCUAGGGAGUUCGGGCAUAUGACGUCCAAAUGAGGUUGAUUUGAAUCCCCGGGUAUGUGGUUAUGCAUGAGCUGUGGAAGCAAAGGUGUGUGUCGGCUGGUUAUGCAUGAGCUGUGGAAGCAAAGGUGUGUGUCGGCUGGAGCUGAUUUACGGGGCUGUCAUUUGGAUGGUACCAAACUGUAAUAAUACAGACUCCCACUCAAAAUUUCACUGCACCAAAGGCUCUCGUCAGGAUGGCAAACCUAGGGAGUUCAGGCACCAUGAAACAUAACUUCCUUUGCCAUCGGAGAGAAAGAAGACGGUAGGCGCGCUCAGGAGAUGACGCAGCAACAACCGUCGAGCGGAGGUUGUGUUUGGAGGCGACCAGCAGAGGCUGCAGCUCCCACAGCUCGCGUGCGAACGAUGUGGCCGGACGACGAUUGAAGCGGCGUUUCUGUUUUGGCGGCGUGCUUUCGCGUGUGGAUGGAGCUCGUACGCCAGGAAGAACUGGCGUCUUGAUGGAGCUCGUACGCCAGGAAGAACUGGCGUUCGUUGGCGGGUCGAAGAAGUUUGAUUUUUGGUCGAUGGACCUCGUCCUCGUUCGUGGGUUGCGGAGCUGUUUUUUUGUUGACUGGGCGCGAUCGUGGGGUUCCAUGGACUUAUCGUUCGUGUGUUGAACUGUGGAUCUCGUACGUGGGCUGAGUUGUUGUAUUUUUUUUUGCGGGCGCUGAGUUGGUGUUUUUUCGUACGUGGGCUAUGUUGGUGGGCUGCUGCGUGCGUGUGGGAGUUCGAAGGGAGGGGGAUCGAACGAGGUCGAACCAUCACGACGUUCGAUCCCCCUUUAAU